UACGUAGGGGGCAAGCGUUGUCCGGAAUCAUUGGGCGUAAAGAGCGUGUAGGCGGCCAGAUAAGUCCGCUGUGAAAUCUCGAGGCUCAACUUCGAGCUGUCGGUGGAAACUGUCUGGCUAGAGUCCGGAAGAGGAGAAUGGAAUUCCUGGUGUAGCGGUGAAAUGCGCAGAUAUCAGGAAGAACACCCGUGGCGAAGGCGGUUCUCUGGGACGGUACUGACGCUGAGACGCGAGAGCGUGGGGAGCGAACAGG
rnacentral:rRNA from 1 species